AAUAUUGCACAAUGGGCGCAAGCCUGAUGCAGCCAUGCCGCGUGUAUGAAGAAGGCCUUCGGGUUGUAAAGUACUUUCAGCAGUGAGGAAGGUGGGUAUGUUAAUAGCAUAUUCAUUUGACGUUAGCUGCAGAAGAAGCACCGGCUAACUCCGUGCCAGCAGCCGCGGUAAUACGGAGGGUGCGAGCGUUAAUCGGAAUUACUGGGCGUAAAGCGCAUGCAGGUGGUUUGUUAAGUCAGAUGUGAAAGCCCGGGGCUCAACCUCGGAAUUGCAUUUGAAACUGGCAAACUAGAGUACUGUAGAGGGGGUAGAAGUUUCAGGUGUAGCGGUGAAAUGCGUAGAGAUCUGAAGGAAUACCGGUGGCGAAGGCGGCCCCCUGGACAGAUACUGACACUCAGAUGCGAAAGCGUGGGGAGCAAACAGGAUUAGAUACCCUGGUAG
rnacentral:rRNA from 1 species